rnacentral:tRNA from 1 species
AACCCUGUGGCUCAGUUGCUAGAGCAUUGCGCUACCAACGCAAAGGUUGUGGGUUCAAAUGCCCAGGGAAA